UAUCCGGCCGGCUCGCAGUAUGUUGGUUUAUUUUGUUCUAGUUUGUAAUUUUAUCCGAUUUCAUUUUUUUUUAAAUUCCCGACGUGUCCCGUCCCCGCUGCCUGGUUCUGGCGAACCGGGUGCCGGCUCUGGUCUCUGCCGUUCAACGCCCCGGCGGCACGGCUGAGGUUUUUAAUUGAAUUAAUGCACCCACCGGGAGCAGCAGCGAACUGCGCUGGCUGCUGGAGGCGAGUGGCUUAGCUCCGCUCCGCAGCCCGCCGCUCACACGGCUGGUUAAGCAGCUCUUCCCUCAAUUUUCUGCCAAAGCUUCCCCGGAGAGGGUCCGACGGAGCCCCACUCCUUCACCCCGCGCCUUCCAACCCCCUUUUACCUUCUUUCCCCCCUUCUUCCCCCGGGGACUACGGGCUCCGUUUUAUUACCUUUAUUUUUAUUAUUAUUAUUGCUGUUGGAAUUUAUUUUUCUCUUUUAAUAAGGGAGCUUUCCCAGAUCUGGAGGCACAACUGGUUAUUUUGAUUUGAUUGACAAGUGAUGUCAUAUCAUUAAGGGAGGGGGGAGACGACAGCAUGUUUUAGCAACAGUUAGUAGCGCCAUGUGAUAGAGUUGACACCUAUUCUUGGGCAGAGGAGAAGGCAGAAAACAAAUAAGCCGGCGCCGCACGCGCACCGGAGAGGGGAAUCUUCCUCUUUUGUUUCCCCCCUUCAUUCUGGGUAUUUGGAUCUGGGAAAAAUUGUACUUGAGGAGAACCCGCAGACCCCAAGGCACGUUCCUGCAGACACCCCUUUCCUAGGGUGCCCCCGGCGACCCCCAGGGCCACACUCUGUCCCAGUGAACGGAGACCGGGGGGCCGAGACCUCCUGGGCAGCAUUGCCCGCUGCCUCCCCGAGGUGCAGCCCACAGACGCCAGCAGGGAGGGCAGGAAAACUCCGUGAAAAGAAAGAAGAAGAGGGAGAGAAGUGCUCAGUGCUUAGCACCGCACGGGGCAGCGGCGCUCCCUGUGCCAGCGGGCAAUGUGAGAGCCCCGGGCGGGCUGGGGAAGGGGCUGCUCGCCGGCGAGGAGGGGGCUGGGAGGGUCUGCUGUGGGCGUCCCGCCCCUGCUCUGCCAGCAGGUAGGAGCCCUGGGCAGCCGGUCCCUGCGAGCAGCCUCCUCACCCGCAUCGGGUAUAUUUCCUUGGAUUUUUGUGGGGAGAGAAAGUUCUUGCUUUCUGCCUUAAAAAAAAAAUAAUUCUCUGUGUUUUCGGCCCUCUGGUCUUGUCUCCGCUUUGCUUUUCGUCUCCCCCGGCUCCCCUGUCCUGCGUUACUAGCUCGAAUUAAUGGCUCCUGAUAGGGUUAUAAAGUGACACAGUUACCUCGUAACCACAAGACCCUUACAUAAACUGCAUUAAGGAAAAACAAAAAGAAAGAAAAACGCAAAGGCGCGUUAGAGAUACGACUAGGGAAAUAAAUCACGGAAAAUUUAAUUUUUUGCUUGUUUUGGUAAAUACACUAUCCUCCAUCCCGCAGAGGAUUUCUGCGGGGUUUGUACCCCACCGUGGGAACCCUCGGUCCCACUCUCGCUCCCGACACGCUCCCGCACACGCCUUCACCUGCGCUUUGUCCGCAAUUUGCCUGGUGCCCGCAGCCCCCCGGCUGGCUAGGCUGCAACAUAAAGGGGAGGAAAAGCCUCAAGCAGACCCCAGCCUGGCCACAAAACCGCCUUUUGUGUAAAAGUUCCCGAAGAUAAAUGCGUGCGUGGGGAAGGGGGAGGUUGGACACGCGCAGCUUUGUCCAGAAAAAGGUUAUUUCGGAAGGAGUUGUUGUAGGAGGGAGGGACGAGGCCGACCCCGCAGCCUGAGCACCCCAAAGCAAAAGGAGGAUAAAGAGGGGAACUUUGCACAUACAAAAAACAGAAGAAAAAAAAAAGGCGAAGGGGUGAAAGAGUCGGCGGAGAGGAGCGGCCGUGCCCCGAUGUGCCUGGGAAGAAGGAGACGCUGUCGGCAGCCGCGUCCCGAGAUCGCCCGGCACGGAACGACUCCAAAACGAGGAACUGUCGCUCAGGCGGAAAAACUACUGGAAAAGUGGGGUUUGAAGGCUGCAGAUUUUUCCCCAAGAGGGGUCAGACGGGGGUGUGCGAGCCGGGGGCUCAGGGGGCUGAGACCGGAGCAGUGCCCACCCGAGCCUCACCGCGCUGUGCCUGCUCUCCAGCCGCGCCGUCCCGGGACAGCCGGGGUCACCCCUCCACGUUCCACCAGAGACAUUGGGGGUCGCACGGGCAGGGAGUCAGGAUUUUCCCCUCAUGCCCGCUGGAAAAGAAGGAUGUUUUUCUUUCCUGUUAAGCUUUCGUACUAAAGAUGUCAUCUGAAAGUCUGGGAGGAAGGGGGACCGUGCUCUGCUCUCUUUCACGGUAACAACCAUAUCAUAUUGAAAAAUAUGAUAGACAGUGGGGGAAGAUUUCCUCCCCCAUUAAAAAAAAAAAAAAAGAAAAGGAAAAAACCCCAACCUUUUCAAUAUUGAUUAAAAAAAAAAAAAAAAGGGAGAGAAUUUUAAAAGAGAAGAAGCAGCACCAGCAGCAAGGAGAAUAUAGGCUCAGCAGCUCUCCAGGUUAGCUUCCUUAUUAUUACUAUCCAGGGGUAAUUUUUCAUCUCUGCUAGCUAAUCUUUGUUCCUUGUGAAGAUAAUGAAUAGCCCAAUCCUUAUCUCCUGGGCUCCUGGAGGCUGCUGGAGAAUGGGGUUGAACAGGGUUGAAAAUUGGUUCCAAAGUGCUGCUGAAUAAAUGGUGUUCCUUAUCUCUCGCUUCCAGAUUAUCGGAACCCUUUCAAAACUCACACAACAAAUACAGCCACCGCAUCUAAUGCAUCAUUUACCAGAGCAGAUCUCCGCGUUUGAUCGGCAGAUAGGCAAAAUCUAUGUAUUCCUUGCUUUACUUAGUAUGCAUGGAUGCGGGGCUGCUGUGCACGAGGGUUGCCCCCGGCCGGGCCUGGGACACCCCCGAGGCUCUUGGCACACACGGGUCUUCGCUGUGGAUUCUGUGAGUGACAAGAGUGUCCCCUGCCUAUCCCUGAUCCAGGGGAGCCGGGUGGGACAGCAGCUCAGAGUGCAGGGUGCUGCCACACAGCAUGCUUGGAAAUUUGGACUUGCUCUGCUGAGGUACUGGUGGAUUUGCAGGGAAGGGAGAAGAGUUGUGAACAUCAUCCUGGGCACCUCAGGCACCUGCUCUUAUUCACACUCACUCCUGCACCCAGAGCCUCCUUCACCUGCAUCCCUGGGCAGCCACUGCUUCAGGAGUGAUGAAGCGUGUGGCAGCACCUCUGUCCCCAUGCAGAAAGCCACGGCCAGGCUCAGCUGUGUCCCAGUUCUGCCCCUGCCUCAGCAGUCUCAGCGUCCAGCUGGGUCAAUCUAGUGAAAACUCCCGGGGCUCCCCCCAGCUUGUUCCCCCCAAACCCUGGCCAUGGAGCCCUGCCAGUCCCUUGGGUCCUUCACGUGCUGGGCUGGGUGACCCCUCCACCUCCCAGCCACAGGCAGAACAGGGCACCUGAGACAGCCCAAAUUUGGGAAGCAAUUAGUGAUUUUGAAGGACAAAAAUAAACCUUAUAGAAGGGGAGUUAUUUUCUCCUAGAGUUAGUGUGAAGUCUGUCCCUUCCAGCUCAGGACAGUAUCAGAUUUUUCUUCCUUUCUUUCUCUCUUCCUCUCUUUUUUUAAUUUUCUCUUUAUUUCUUGUUUCUUAUUCUGUCUUUUUUUUUUUUUUUCAUUUUUUCCUUUUUCCCUCCCAAAACCUGUCUAUAUAACCGUAAAUGUCUCCCAGUCCAGGUGUGCAGCCCCCAGCUCCAGAGCCAGGGACAGAUGUCCCUUUGGCUCACCCAACCCUUCUUUCCUCUGGCAGUACCUGAGCUUGUGCCAGGAACCAGACAAGGAAACAUUUUAUUCUGCACCACUGCAGCACAUGACAUAUUGCUAGCACUGCCCUGGACCCCCAGACCAGGGGGACAGCAAGAUUCUGGCUUGGGGACAGGACACCCACAGUCUUCUGGUCUCCUCUGCCUGUCCAGCAAAGCUCAUCUCAUCCCUGCCUGGAAAGAGAGAGAAACUUUGAUGGGAUGUUGCAGGCAAGCAGCAGCCCCUGCCCGCGCUUGAAAGUUUUGCAAAUGUUCAACUUGUACUAAUUUUGUAUGGCUGUAUUCACAGUUGUUCUCUGUAAAAAAUGGACCUGUGUUAGUUUAUUAAUAACCUAAACAUUACGCAUUAAAGACCUAUGAGUGACACAAGAUGACAAAAA